GAAGGCUGGACUGAAACCUCUGAAAUCAUGAGCAAAAGUCAAUCUCUCCUUCUGUAAAUCAUGUGGGUCCAAUCUUUGGUCCCAGUGGUGAAAAGCUGACGCAGCCCCUUUCUUCCUUGCCAUUUCAGAAUGCAAGCAAGGAGAUCUCGCCCAUCAGCGCUGUCUGUCACACAGGCCCGCCUCCCAAUACACGCGCUGCUUUCCUGUGUCCCAGAGAACUCCUGAGCACACACAGAGAAGGUUCUCAAGAAAGAGAUGGCUGAUCUGGGACAACGUUAGCUGGAGAUUCUGCUCAGGCUGGCUCUGCAGAAAGCUGAGUAAAAGAACACAGUGGCACCCUGGUCCAUG
rnacentral:lncRNA from 1 species